rnacentral:rRNA from 1 species
AGUGAACGCUGGCGGUAGGCCUAACACAUGCAAGUCGAACGGCAGCACAGUAAGAGCUUGCUCUUACGGGUGGCGAGUGGCGGACGGGUGAGGAAUACAUCGGAAUCUACUUUUUCGUGGGGGAUAACGUAGGGAAACUUACGCUAAUACCGCAUACGACCUACGGGUGAAAGCAGGGGAUCUUCGGACCUUGCGCGAUUGAAUGAGCCGCUGUCGGAUUAGCUAGUUGGCGGGGUAAAGGCCCACCAAGGCGACGAUCCGUAGCUGGUCUGAGAGGAUGAUCAGCCACACUGGAACUGAGACACGGUCCAGACUCCUACGGGAGGCAGCAGUGUGGAAUAUUGGACAAUGGGCGCAAGCCUGAUCCAGCCAUACCGCGUGGGUGAAGAAGGCCUUCGGGUUGUAAAGCCCUUUUGUUGGGAAAGAAAAGCAGCAGGUUAAUACCCCGCUGUUCUGACGGUACCCAAAGAAUAAGCACCGGCUAACUUCGUG